CCUACGGGAGGCAGCAGUGGGGGAUAUUGCACAAUGGGGGCAACCCUGAUGCAGCGACGCCGCGUGAGCGAUGGAGUACUUCGGUAUGUAAAGCUCUGUCAGCAGGGAAGAGAAUGACGGUACCUGACCAAGAAGCCACGGCUAAAUACGUGCCAGCAGCCGCGGUAAUACGUAUGGGGCAAGCGUUAUUCGGAUUUACUGGGUGUAAAGGGAGCGUAGGCGGGAGGGCAAGACUGAUGUGAAAGCCCGGGGCUCAACCCCGGGACUGCAUUGGGAACUGCCCCGCUCGAGUGCCGGAGGGGCAAGCGGGAUUCCUAGUGUAGCGGUGAAAUGCGUAGAUAUUAGGAGGAACACCAGUGGCGAAGGCGGCCUGCUGGACGGUGUACUGACGCUGAGGCUCGAAAGCGUGGGGAGCAAACAGGAUUAGAUACCCCAGUAGUC
rnacentral:rRNA from 1 species